rnacentral:rRNA from 1 species
GAUGAACGCUGGCGGUAUGCCUAACACAUGCAAGUCGUACGAGAGUUUUUAACUCUAGUGGCGACGGGUGAGUAACACGUGAGAAUUUGCCUUUAGGAGGGGGAUAACAAUUGGAAACGAAUGCUAAUACCCCAUAUGCUUUUGAGUGAAAUGGAUUUUAUCCGCCUAGAGAGAAGCUCGCGGCUGAUUAGCUUGUUGGUAAGGUAAGAGCUUACCAAGGCGACGAUCAGUAUCUGGUUUGAGAGGACGAUCAGACACACUGGAACUGAGACACGGUCCAGACUCCUACGGGAGGCAGCAGUGGGGAAUUUUCCGCAAUGGGCGAAAGCCUGACGGAGCAAUACCGCGUGAGGGAAGAAUGCCUAUGGGUUAUAAACCUCUUUUUCAGGGAGGAAUAAAAUGACGUGUACCUGAAGAAUAAGCAUCGGCUAACUCCGUG